ensembl:snoRNA SNORD58 Small nucleolar RNA SNORD58
AUGCUGUGAUGACCAUCUUAGGACACCUUUGGAGGGUAUACUCCUGUGAAACUAAAUAUAUUUCUGAGCAUG